GAUGAACGCUGGCGGCGUGCCUAAUACAUGCAAGUCGAGCGAACGGACGAGAAGCUUGCUUCUCUGAUGUUAGCGGCGGACGGGUGAGUAACACGUGGAUAACCUACCUAUAAGACUGGGAUAACUUCGGGAAACCGUAGCUAAUACCGGAUAAUAUUUUGAACCGCAUGGUUCAAAAGUGAAAGACGGUCUUGCUGUCACUUAUAGAUGGAUCCGCGCUGCAUUAGCUAGUUGGUAAGGUAACGGCUUACCAAGGCAACGAUGCAUAGCCUACCUGAGAGCGUCAUCGGACACCCUGGAACUGAGACCCGGUCCAGACUCCUACGGGGGGACGCAGUAGGGAAUCUUCCGCAAUGGGCGAAAGCCUGACGGAGCACCGCCGCGUGAGUGAUGACGGUCUUCGGAUCGUAAAACUCUGUUAUUAGGGAAGAACAUAUGUGUAAGUAACUGUGCACAUCUUGACGGUACCUAAUCAGAGAGCCACGGCUAACUACGUG
rnacentral:rRNA from 1 species